rnacentral:rRNA from 1 species
GACGAACGCUGGCGGCGUGCUUAAUACAUGCAAGUCGAACGCAGUGGGGACGGGUGAGUAACACGUGGGUAACCUCCCAUCAGAGGGGAUAACACUUGGAAACAGGUGCUAAACCGAUACUGAUGGAUGGACCCGCGGGGCAUUAGCUAGUUGGUGGGGUAACGGCGCACCAAGGCCACGAUGCAUAGCCGGCCUGAGAGGAUGAUCGGGCACAGUGGGACUGAGACACGGCCCAGACUCCUACGGGAGGCAGCAGUGGGGAAUCUUCGGCAAUGGACGAAAGUCUGACACAGCAACGCCGCGUGAAUGAAGAAGGUUUUCGGAUCGUAAAGCUCUGUUGGUCGGGAAGCGUUAUCUAACGAAGAAGCCACGGCUAACUACGUGCCAGCAGCCGCGGUAAUAC